rnacentral:rRNA from 1 species
UUCCGGUUGAUCCCGCCGGACCCCACUGCUAUCGAGGUGGGACUUAGCCAUGCUAGUCGAACGAACAGAACUAUGUCUGUAAGUGGCAUACUGCUCAGUAACACGUAGCUAACCUACCCUUAGGACGUCGAUAACCCCGAGAAAUUGGGGCUAAUAGGCGAUAGAUGUAUUGUCCUGGAAUGGUAAUAUGUCCAAAGGUAUCCCAUACAUGUUUGGUAUACGCCUAAGGAUGGGGCUGCGGCCGAUCAGGCUGUUGGUGAGGUAAUGGCUCACCAAACCUUUGACCGGUAUGGGCCAUGAGAGUGGUAGCCCAGAGAUGGACACUGAGACAAGGGUCCAGGCCCUACGGGGCGCAGCAGGCGCGAAACCUCCUCAAUGCACUAACGUGCGAAGGGGUUACCUCGAGUGCCACCUGAAGAAGGUGGCUUUUCCUUGGUCUAAAAAGCCUAGGGAAUAAGAGGGGGGCAAGACUGGUGUCAGCCGCCGCGGUAACACCAGCCCCUCGAGUGGUGGGGAUGAUUAUUUGGCCUAAAGCGUCCGUAGCCGGCCGGGUAAGUUUCCCGUUAAAUCCAGCGUCUCAAGCGUUGGACUGCGGGAAAUACUGCCUGGCUAGAGAGUGGGAGAGGUCAGCGGUAUUCUGGGGGUAGGGGCGAAAUCCUUUGAUCCCCGGAGGACCACCAGUGGCGAAGGCUGCUGACUAGAACACGUCUGACGGUCAGGGACGAAAGCUGGGGUAGCGAACCGGAUUAGAUACCCGGGUAGUCCUGGCCGUAAACGAUGCAUACUAGGUGA